rnacentral:rRNA from 1 species
CGAACGCUGGCGGCGCGUUUUAAGCAUGCAAGUCGAACGGUAGAGAGGUGCUUGCACCUUUUGAGAGUGGCGAACGGGUGAGUAACACGUAGGUAAUCUACCCUAGGAUUGGGGAUAGCCCAUGGAAACAUGGGGUAAUACCGAAUAGAUCCUGCCGAUUUAGGUAUUGGUGGGGGAAAGGGGCUUCGGCCCUGUCCUGGAGAUGAGCCUGCGGCUCAUUAGCUAGUUGGUGUGGUAAAGGCGCACCAAGGCGACGAUGAGUAGCCGGCCUGAGAGGGCGAUCGGCCACACUGGGACUGAGACACGGCCCAGACUCCUACGGGAGGCAGCAGCUAAGAAUCUUCCGCAAUGGGCGAAAGCCUGACGGAGCGACGCCGCGUGAACGAUGAAGGCCGUGAGGUUGUAAAGUUCUUUUCUUGGGGAGGAAUAACCUACGGAGGUAAUGCCGUAGGGAUGACGUUAACCGAGGAAUAAGCCACGGCUAAUUAC